rnacentral:lncRNA from 1 species
AGCCAAGCGGAGCGCUUAGUAGUUGAUCCGAGCUGGUUUUAUAGGCUCUUGGCCCGCCAAGCCUACAGUGACCAAAUCGUCACUUUUUUUUUUUUUAAAAAAAGGCCACAAAGUUUUACAUAUGACUGUUGGGGUCCCCAGCAAUCAUUUUUUUUGUCAUUUUUGUUGACCUCGCUAAUUGCUUCCUCCACGUGGCCAAUCGAUAGCGACUCCACGUAAUCCUCUUUGUGCACAACAACGCACGGUCAGAAGCACAUGGUCGGAACUAGCAGGGGUGGUGGUGGCCGCAUACACUCCGACGGUCAAGUCAGUAUUUGGUGAUCGGAACAAUACUCAAGUUAUGCAAGAGAGUGGGGAGGAGAAUAUAUAUUUUUUAGUAUGGAGAGCUAAGUUGUGAGAGUUUCGUUACCUUUGUCUCUUGCCAAACCUUGGUGUAUUUAUAGACGUGGAGCACCGUUGGAUGUGAAACACGUGUAUGCAUCUGACAGUGUGAGGCGUCCGCUCAUAGGCGUCAAUCAGCCGCGUCUAGAGUGGGCAGACAAUUAAUUAUUCUGAGUUGAGUUGACAUAAAGUUAAUACGUCAUAUCAACUAGACCUAUGGAGACGUCACAUCAAUUAAUCCUUGGAGGCAGAGAGGAUCCUAAUACAGAUAUCUUCCUGAAAGUGGCGGCGGAGAGAUCUGUUAAGAGAGCACUUCGAAAUGCCUAACACUUCGAUGUCAGGGGGCACUUCGGUUACUUCAGUGGAUCGACUCUGCGCCUUGCAGCACGUCAAGUUGGAAGUCGUCAGAAGUUGGCGUAACUUUGAAAUCACUUCAGAUGGACAAGUGGCACUUUGGGGAGUGGUAUGCCUGAUGUUUCGAAAUGGUUCAGUUAGGGGCAUAAAAGUAGUCCCCCCAAGUUCAGGCAUGAAUAUUCAUAUCAUGGGUAGACUUAUUUUCCCGAUUGUGUAUGCUGGCCUUACAGUAGGGAUUGUAGAUUCUGAUGAAGUGCUGAUGUGAAAGGGCGAAGUGAGCAGAUGUGCCGAACACUUGUUUGCUGAGCCUUAGUGAUAAUCGAGGUGAUGUGGGUAAGGCGUUCUCUCGGUUGAUCGUUCGUUGUUUCAUGAUGAGCCUUUAGUGUUUGACAGAAGUGUAUGAGUUGUGAUUUUGUUGGGAGAGGAGUUCAUCUGCAACCGGGGCGCUGACCCACAGGGGACGACGCAUGGAGAGAUGGCUAAAGCUUUGUAAAGCUUAGGAGGGAACGCAGUGACCAAGGCGAUGACCCACAGGGGACCCCUCGUUAGGUGCGUCUAAACUUUGUAAAGCUGAGUGAAGAGCUCAUCUGCCAUCGGUGCGCUAACCCACAGGGGACGACGCGUUGAGAGAUGGCUAAGCUUUGUAAAGUUUAGGAGGGAAUGUAGUCAUCGAGGCAGUGACCCACAAGGGACUUCGCGUCAGGUGCAUUUAAACUUUGUAAAGCUGAGUAAGGAGUUCAUCUGCUAUUGGUGCGCUGACUCACAGGAGACGAUGCGUUGGGAGAUGGCUAAAGCUUUGUAAAGUUUAGGAAGGAACGCAUCCACCGAGGCGGUGACCCACAAGGGACCCCACAUUAGGUGCGUCUAAACUUUGUAAAGUUGAGGAGUUCGAUCUGAGGUGUCCAUUUCUGACGUUAGAUGAUUUGACAGCUGUCGCGUAUUUCGAAGGUGACAGUUGGAUGCGAUGCCCAUUCCCAGAAAAGGCUACUGUAGCUACUUAUUGUAGACGGCUGAUGGGGAUUGAGGCGACGCAUUUUAUGCGUGCGUGAACAACUAGAUCUUGGGCGUAGAUCAAAUCCGAUGUUUCAUUUCAACGGCCUAAAUUUGUGAUCCGAUGGACAGCCUAGAUCGAUAGCAUUUGAAUUCGACGAUGGAGAUCAUCUGGAGUGUUCUAUAAAAGGGAGACUUGAGCGUUUUGAGAGGUUUUGACUCUUGCGAAAUUAGACUUUCUUUACUCUCAAAAUUCUCUGCAAUUUCUGUUAAUCUUCAAGCGUUUUUCGGCAACAUUUCUAGUUUCCGACGAGUUCCAGAGGGCCCUUUCUUCUUUUUCGAUUGUAGAAAACCCCAAUCCAUUCGUUUUAGUAAGUAUCUCACUAGUUU